CAGUAGCCGCGGUAAUACCGAGGGUGCGAGCGUUAAUCGGAUUUACUGGGCGUAAAGCGUGCGUAGGCGGCUUCUUAAGUCGGAUGUGAAAUCCCUGAGCUUAACUUAGGAAUUGCAUUCGAUACUGGGAAGCUAGAGUAUGGGAGAGGAUGGUAGAAUUCCAGGUGUAGCGGUGAAAUGCGUAGAGAUCUGGAGGAAUACCGAUGGCGAAGGCAGCCAUCUGGCCUAAUACUGACGCUGAGGUACGAAAGCAUGGGGAGCAAACAGGAUUAGAUACCCGCGUAGUCCCUGUCUCUUUACA
rnacentral:rRNA from 1 species